rnacentral:lncRNA from 1 species
GUUGAUACCACAUAAUUGUACAAACUAACGGCAGAUUUCUGCUGUUUUUCAACUGAACGAAAGCAAUAAUUAAUAUUUUCCCUUGCUUCUUUCUCUCUUUUACAAUUGCAAUCCUAUAGAAAUCACAAGCCAUGGCUGCUCGCGAUGUCUGCUCUACGACCAUGAAUACCCACCUUGAUGUCUUUGGAAUGCAAGCUCCAGAGCCCUAUUUCCAGACACGUCCCUUUACCGAAAAUGUCAAUAUCCCGAUGGAGAAUGCUUAUGAUCAUCAACAGAUGAUGCACUUGAUGCCACCUGAGACUUUCAGCGGCAGUAAUUUCGUGUAUCCCACUUCUUCGCAGUGGUCUAAUGGAUAUAUGCCUUCUAAUACGGACCUCUAUGGUACUAGCCUGGUAUCGAGAUCACCCUCAGACUCAUUCAAUCUCCCAAGUCCAGUCGGCUACAACAGUUACUCUCCCCCUCAGUCCAAAUCUUCAUCUUCUUCGUGCUACAGCUCUCCAACGCGGAUGGAUUUGAGCUCCAGUUUCUCUCCAGAAAAUUACCACUAUCAGCAUUGCAACCUACAGCAUUGCUUUUGUCUGUCGCAUUGGUCCAAUGUGCAGGAAGGCAUGGCAACCUCGGAGUUUGCGCCCUACGGCUCAUCAGACUGUUUGUAUUCAUAUGGCGACGACAGUAAUUUCAGAAGGGAUACUUCAAACUCAGAGAUGUGUUACUUAAAAAAUGCAUUUUGAAGCACUUUGCGCGAAAAUUCAGUGUCAUAAUUGAUUCAUUUGAAUGCAUGUGUUGUAUUUUAGUUUAGAUAAAAGAACAAGCAGUGAUAGAAUGCAUGAUUUACAAAUGAUUCAUUUAUCUUUUCUACAAUAAACAUAUUUUUUUCGUAAUUAUACUGGCAUUGGGGAAAUAUUUCAGAUUUACAGCGUGCAGUUUCUGUUUAACUCUUGAAAUGUACAUCGGAACUUCUAUCGUUUUUUUUUAUUUUUUAUUUUUUUAUGUACAAAUAGAGCUGUGGCACUGAGGGCUCAUUUAUUGUUUUGCAUAUCAACAUUCGACAUUAUGAAAAAUACCAGAAGAAAGCUUAAAAAUGUGUUAUUUAUGAAAACGGAUUUUGUCCUGUAACUAGCUGUUAACAUUUUUCUUUGCUCCUAACAAAUACACUGUAAAUGUCAACUCACACUGAAAACAUAAGUUUAAUUGCUGCCUUCAUAAUUUUAAAGUAAAAAC